rnacentral:rRNA from 1 species
UACGUAGGGUGCGAGCGUUGUCCGGAAUUACUGGGCGUAAAGAGCUCGUAGGUGGUUUGUCGCGUUGUUCGUGAAAACUCACAGCUUAACUGUGGGCGUGCGGGCGAUACGGGCAGACUGGAGUACUGUAGGGGAGACUGGAAUUCCUGGUGUAGCGGUGGAAUGCGCAGAUAUCAGGAGGAACACCGGUGGCGAAGGCGGCUCGCUGGGCAGUGGCUGACGCUGAGGCGCGACAGCGUGGGGAGCAAACAGG